rnacentral:snRNA from 13 species
AUACUUAAUAUCUAGCGCCGGGUUCAAGGAUGCUCUGACACCAGGUGGAGGUUCACCAUUGCACCUUGGUGGGUUGGAACUCGCGAUGAACCCUAAUCGGGUGCGCUCGGGAGUGUAGUUUUUGUCACUGGGGUGGGGUCUCACAGUCCUCCCCUU